GUUAGACGGGGGCCCGGCCGACAAGACGGUGGAGGCAUGUGGUUUAAUUCGAUGAUACGCGAGGAACCGUUACCUGGGCUCGAACGUAAGAUGACUGUAGGUGAAAGCUUACAUCUCUUCGGAGCAUUUUACGAGGUGCUGCAUGGUUGUCGUCAGCUCGUGCCGUGAGGUGUCGGGUUAAGUCCCGCAACGAGCGCAACCCCUGCAUUCAGUUGCCAUCGGGUAAUGCCGGGCACUCUGGAAGGACUGCCAUCGACAAGAUGGAGGAAGGUGGGGAUGACGUCAAGUCAUCAUGGCCCUUAUGUCCAGGGCGACACACGUGCUACAAUGGCCGGCACAACGGGAAGCGAGUUCGCGAGGACAAGCGGAUCCCUUAAAGCCGGUCGCAGUUCGGAUUGAAGUCUGCAACUCGACUUCAUGAAGCUGGAAUCGCUAGUAAUCGUGGAUCAGCCAAGCCGCGGUGAAUACGUUCCCGGGCCUU
rnacentral:rRNA from 1 species